rnacentral:rRNA from 1 species
CAAGAUUAAGCCAUGCAUGUCUAAGUGAAAACCGCUGGUGAACUGCGAAUGGCUCAUUACAUCAGUUAUGAUUUAUUUGGUGGUAUAGGCUACUCGGAUAACCGUAGUAACUCUGUGGCUAAUACGUGCGGGAGUUCCCCAACUCAUUAGAAGGGACGUAUUUAUUAGUUAUAAACGCUAGCCUGAAAAGAUCUCCCUCCCAGGGUGAGGGGUGCUACUUCUCGCUUAAGGGAACCGUAGGUCUAGGGAUUGUGUUGAAACAUGAUAAACUGUCGAAUCGUACGGCUCAACAAAGCUAACGAUGCACCAUUCAAAUUUCUGCCCCAUCAACUUGAUGGUAGGGUAGUGGCCUACCAUGGUCUUGACGGGUAACGGGGAAUUGGCGUUCGAUUCCGGAGAGGGAGCCUGAGAGACGGCUACCACUUCUAAGGGAGGCAGCAGGCGCGCAAAUUACCCAAUCCUAACGAAGGGAGGUAGUGACGAAACAUACCAUGGUUUAGACCGGUGAGGUCUUGAAUCUGGAAUGCAUCCAACUUAAACGCUUGGAUGAGGAUCGAUUGGAGGCAAGACUGGUGCCAGCAGCCGCGGUAAUACAGCUCCAAUAGCAUAUAUUAGUGUUGUUGCCGUUAAACGUCCGUAGUCGAAUUUAAGAACUCUCUCAGGCCUGUCCGCCAUGAGUAGGGUACCUGGGUCUUCUCUUCUCUCUUAAACUAUCUCUGUUCCGAGUAUAGCGGUGCGGCGCCGGUUCACCCCCAUGGGGGUGAACCGUUCCCAAACGGCUGGAGACCCACGUUCCCAUGACAAAAUCAUAGUGUUCAAAGCAAGCACGAUGUGCCCUGGAUGCAACAGCAUGGAACAACAACGAUAGGACUUCGACCUGGCCUGCGCUAGCAAACAGGCUCGAAGGAAUGAUUAACAGGAGCAGUCGGGGGUAGUCGUAUUCCGUUGCUAGAGAUGAAAUUCAUUGACCAUCGGAGGACGAACAAUAGCGAAAGCAUCUACCAAGAAUGUUUUCAUUGAUCAAGGACGAAAGUUGAGGUAGCGAAGACGAUUUGGUACCGUCGUAGUCUCAACCGUAAACGAUGCCGACUAGGGGUUGGUGGACGUAUUUCUCGAUUGCUCCAUCAGCACCUUAUGAGAAAUCACAAGCUUUCGGGUUCCGGGGGGAGUACGGUCGCAAGGCUGAAACUUAAAGGAAUUGGCGGAAGGGCACCACAAGGCGUGGAGCUUGCGGCUUAAUUUGACUCAACGCAGGAAAACUUACCAGGUCCGUACAUAGGGAGGAUUGACAGAUUGACAGCUCUUUCUUGAUUCUAUGGGAGGUGGUGCAUGGCCGUUUCUAGUUCGUGAGUUGGCUUGUCAGGUUAAUUCCGGUAACGAGCGAGACUCAGCCCCUACCGGGUUGUGGGUUGUAUGGUUCUCCCCCACAAGGGGGAGUCGCUAUCAGGUAAUCUGCAACACCUUAGGGGGACGCUUGAUGGUGAAAUCAAGGGAAGCGUGAGGCUAUAGCAGGUCUGUGAUGCCCUUAGAUGUUCUGGGCUGCACGCGCGCUACAAUGAUGCGGGCAAUGAGGGAAUAGCUUAACCGAGAGGUUUGGAGUAUCUUGGAAACCGCAUCGUGCUGGGGAUAGAUCAUUGUAAUUCUUGAUCUUGAACGAGGAAUGCCUAGUAAGCGCGAGUCAUCAGCUCGCACUGAUUACGUCCCUGCCCUUUGUACACACCGCCCGUCGCUCCUGCCAAUGGGUAGGGUGGCAAGAGAGGGGGAUUGACCUACGCACAUGCGUCUGAAGAACCUUCUCGAGCUAUCUUAUCUAAAGGA